rnacentral:rRNA from 1 species
AUUGAACGCUGGCGGCAGGCCUAACACAUGCAAGUCGAACGAGUGGCGGACGGGUGAGUAAUGUCUGGGAAACUGCCUGAUGGAGGGGGAUAACUACUGGAAACGGUAGCUAAUACCGCAUACCAUCAGAUGUUCCCCGCUGGGAUUAGCUUGUUGGUGGGGUAACGGCUCACCAAGGCGACGCUCCCUAGCUGGUCUGAGAGGAUGACCAGCCACACUGUAACUUAGACACGGUCCAGACUCCUACGAGAGGCAGCAGUGGGGAAUAUUGCACAAUGGGCGCAAGCCGGAUGCAGCCAUGCCGAGUGUAUGAAGAAGGCCUUCGGGUUGGAAAGUACUUUCAGCGGGGAGGCGUUACCCGCAGAAGAAGCACCGGCUAACUCCGUGCCAGCAGCCGCGGUAAUUC